AGGGGCGUCGUUCAAUGGUAGAAUAGGAGUCUCCAAAACUUUUGAUGGGAGUUCGAUUCUCUCCGCCCCUGCCA
rnacentral:tRNA from 1 species